GUAGCUAACGCGAUAAGUAUUCCGCCUGGGAAGUAUGGCCGCAAGGUUAACACUCAAAGGAAUUGACCGGGGGCCCGCACAAGCGGUGGAGCAUGUGGUUUAAUUCGAUGCAACGCGAAGAACCUUACCUGGGCUUGACAUGUCUGGAAUCCUGCAGAGAUGCGGGAGUGCCCUUCGGGGAAUCAGAACACAGGUGCUGCAUGGCUGUCGUCAGCUCGUGUUGUGAGAUGUUGGGUUAAGUUCCCGCAACGAGCGCAAACCCUUGUCCUUUAAGUUGCCAAGCGGUUCGGCCGGGCACUCUAGGGAGACUGCCGGUGACAAACCGGAGGAAGGUGGGGAUGACGUCAAGUCCUCAUGGCCUUUAUGUCCAGGGCUACACACGUGCUACAAUGGCGCGUACAGAGGGAAGCCAAGCCGCGAGGUGGAGCAGACCCCAGAAAGCGCGUCGUAGUUCGGAUUGCAGUCUGCAACUCGACUGCAUGAAGUCGGAAUCGCUAGUAAUCGCGGAUCAGCAUGCCGCGGUGAUACGUUCCCGGNCC
rnacentral:rRNA from 1 species